UAGGGAAUCUUCGGCAAUGGACGAAAGUCUGACCGAGCAACGCCGCGUGAGUGAAGAAGGUUUUCGGAUCGUAAAACUCUGUUGUUAGAGAAGAACAAGGACGUUAGUAACUGAACGUCCCCUGACGGUAUCUAACCAGAAAGCCACGGCUAACUACGUGCCAGCAGCCGCGGUAAUACGUAGGUGGCAAGCGUUGUCCGGAUGUAUUGGGCGUAAAGCGAGCGCAGGCGGUUUCUUAAGUCUGAUGUGAAAGCCCCCGGCUCAACCGGGGAGGGUCAUUGGAAACUGGGAGACUUGAGUGCAGAAGAGGAGAGUGGAAUUCCAUGUGUAGCGGUGAAAUGCGUAGAUAUAUGGAGGAACACCAGUGGCGAAGGCGGCUCUAUGGUCUGUAACUGACGCUGAGGCUCGAAAGCGUGGGGAGCAAACAGG
rnacentral:rRNA from 1 species